UAAUUGAAGAGUUUGAUCAUGGCUCAGAUUGAACGCUGGCGGCAGGCCUAACACAUGCAAGUCGAGCGGUAACAGGGGAAAGCU
rnacentral:rRNA from 1 species